CCUACGGGGGGCAGCAGUGGGGAAUAUUGCACAAUGGGGGAAACCCUGAUGCAGCGACGCCGCGUGAGCGAUGAAGUAUUUCGGUAUGUAAAGCUCUAUCAGCAGGGAAGAAAAUGACGGUACCUGACUAAGAAGCCCCGGCUAACUACGUGCCAGCAGCCGCGGUAAUACGUAGGGGGCAAGCGUUAUCCGGAUUUACUGGGUGUAAAGGGAGCGUAGACGGUCCUGCAAGCCAGAUGUGAAAGCCCGGGGCUCAACCCCGGGACUGCAUUUGGAACUGUAAGGCUAGAGUGGCGGAGAGGCAGGCGGAAUUCGUGGUGUAGCGGUGAAAUGCGUAGAUAUUAGGAGGAACUCCAGUGGCGAAGGCGGCCUGCUGGACGAUGACUGACGUUGAGGCUCGAAAGCGUGGGGAGCGAACAGGAUUAGAUACCCUUGUAGUC
rnacentral:rRNA from 1 species